rnacentral:lncRNA from 1 species
UUUGAUUGAUUGCAAGUGCUAGAUAUGAAUGAAGACUGUUUAGAAGUGUGGAGAAAGACUUGUUGAAAUUUGGUCACAAAUGGGCUUAGAACUCAGAAACAUCGCGUUGAACCACUAAAUGGGUUGUCUAGUGUUGUUUGGGGUUAGAAUAUGUUAGAAUAAAAUGAAUUUGUUUGAUUAAAAGAGCUAGAUAUGCAUGAAGAGUGUUUAGAAGUGUGUAGAAAGACUUGCU